rnacentral:rRNA from 1 species
GUCCUUUAGAAUUUAAUUUAAGGUUUAACCUGCCCACUGAAUUUUUUUAAAUGGCCGCAGUAAUUUGACUGUGCAAAGGUAGCAUAAUCAUUAGUUUUUUAAUUGGAAGCUUGUAUGAAAGGUUGGACGAAGUAAAAUCUGUCUCUAAAUAAUUUAAUUUAGAAUUUAACUUUUAAGUUAAAAGGCUUAAAUAUAAUUAAAAGACGAGAAGACCCUAUAGAUCUUUAUAAUUGAUUUAUUAAAAUUAAUUAAGAAUUUAUAAAAUUUUAUUAAUUUAAUUAUUUUAUUGGGGUAAUAUAAAGAUUAAAUUAAUUCUUUUUUUUUAUUAACAUUAAUUUAUGAAUUUUUGAUCCAAUUUUAUUGGUUAUAAGAUUAAGUUACCUUAGGGAUAACAGCGUAAUUUUUUUAGAGAGUUCUUAUCGAUAAAAAAGUUUGCGACCUCGAUGUUGGAUUAAAGAUUAUUUCAGGUGUAGAAGUUUGAAAAUUUUGGUCUGUUCGACCAUUAAAUCUUUACAUGAUCUGAGUUCAGACCGGUGUAAGCCAGGUCGGUUUCUAUCUUUAAUAAAUUAAAAUAUUUUAGUACGAAAGGACCAAUUAUUUAAUAUAAAAUAUUUAAAUUUUGAUUAUUAUUAA